UGUGAACAUACCAUACGUUGCCUCGGCAGGUGCCGGGUCUCGCCGAGAGGCGGGCCCGGCGCAGCCUGCCGGCGGCCCAUCAAACUCUGUUUAAUAACUGUAUCUCUGAGGCUAUUUCUAAAUGAAUUAAAACUUUCAACAACGGAUCUCUUGGUUCUGGCAUCGAUGAAGAACGCAGCGAAACGCGAUAGUUAAUGUGAAUUGCAGAAUUUAGUGAAUCAUCGAAUCUUUGAACGCACAUUGCGCCCGUUAGUAUUCUAGCGGGCAUGCCUGUUCGAGCGUCAUUUCAACCCUCAAGCCCUAGUUGCUUGGUGUUGGGAGGCUACGGUUGUACCUCCUGAAAUGUAGUGGCGGAGCCGGUCCUCGCUCUAGACGUAGUAGGUUCUAUCUCGUCUAUCAGCUGGGCCGGUCCCCUGCCGUAAAACCCCCCCAAUUUAUCAAGGCGGCGAGUGAAGCGGCAACAGCUCAAAUUUGAAAUCUGGCCCUCGGGUCCGAGUUGUAAUUUGUAGAGGAUGCUUUUGGCGCGGUGCCUUCCGAGUUCCCUGGAACGGGACGCCUUAGAGGGUGAGAGCCCCGUACGGUUGGACACCAAGCCUCUGUAAAGCUCCUUCGACGAGUCGAGUAGUUUGGGAAUGCUGCUCUAAAUGGGAGGUAAAUUUCUUCUAAAGCUAAAUAUUGGCCAGAGACCGAUAGCGCACAAGUAGAGUGAUCGAAAGAUGAAAAGCACUUUGAAAAGAGGGUUAAAUAGCACGUGAAAUUGUUGAAAGGGAAGCGUUUGCGACCAGACCUUUUCCUGGCGGAUCAUCCGGUGUUCUCACCGGUGCACUUCGCCAGGUUCAGGCCAGCAUCGGUUUCUGCGGGGGGAUAAAAGCUCUGGGAACGUGGCUCCUCCGGGAGUGUUAUAGCCCUCUGCAUAAUACCCUCGCGGGGACCGAGGACCGCGCUUCGGCAAGGAUGCUGGCGUAAUGGUCGUCAACGACCCGUCUUGAAACACGGACCAAGGAGUCGAACAUUUGUGCGAGUGUUUGGGUGUUAAACCCUCACGCGUAAUGAAGGUGAACGUAGGUGAGAGCCCCUCGGGGUGCAUCAUCGACCGAUCCUGAUGUCUUCGGAUGGAUUUGAGUAAGAGCAUA
rnacentral:sRNA from 1 species